UUUACUUAUCUACGUACACUAAGUAAUUUAGUAUAUUAAUGGACUAGGUUUAAGUAUUGUAUAUUUAUAUGUAUAUAUGUACAUAUAUACAUAUGCAUGCAUACAUGUUAAAUAUAUAAUGUUAACUUAGUAAAUAAGCAACAAACCAUUAAUGGAUUCACAAUGGUAAUGUGAUGUAAUAAAUAAUAUGUAGGCGAAUAAAAUGGUAAAUACAUCUCCUAAUUAAUAAGAAAGAUAUAAUAAGAACUUAUAACCAAUGAUUAGCCUAAUAAGUAGUUUAGGAUAUCUAGCUAGCUUUAGAAGCGAGUGAUGUGACAUGUGAGCACGCGGGUAGUUAGGAUGUCAUAGAGUAUGUGAUUCAAUAGCAUAGUCUAAUGCUACCAAUGGUUGCAGGAUCAUGUUCGGAUUGGAGACUUUAAGUGGUUCUCCAAUGUAGAGUCCAAGUGACUAGAGUCCAAGGAGUGUUCGAGUUGGAGUCCAAUGCAGCCAAGGUACUUCGGUAUAGUCGAUGGGUCGGUAGCAGUGUGCUUGCGAUAUUAUGACUGAAGCUCGCCGCGACAGUUGUAAUUGUCGGACCACGGGUUGUCCACUAUUUUAUAGGUUUGGUAUGGCUUGUGACGUUUGUGUCACUUAUUCUUUGUUAAGCCAUUAUUGUUAUAGUGUUAAUAAGACUAAAACAGAUAGAUGUUAAAUGGCUCUUUGUUGUAAUUAACUUGUGAUAGAUGUAUAAGUUGUAAUUUCCGCUAUUCAGAUUUAUGUUUUCCGCUGCAUAGAUAGAUGUAUGUUAUACUCUGAUUAUCAGGUACAUGUUAUGGGGCAUGUGCCAUAUGUUGGCUGAGCGACA